rnacentral:rRNA from 1 species
UACGGAGGAUGCGAGCGUUAUCCGGAUUUAUUGGGUUUAAAGGGUGCGUAGGCGGACGCUUAAGUCAGCGGUAAAAUUGCGGGGCUCAACCUCGUCGAGCCGUUGAAACUGGGUGCCUUGAGUGGGCGAGAAGUACGCGGAAUGCGUGGUGUAGCGGUGAAAUGCAUAGAUAUCACGCAGAACUCCGAUUGCGAAGGCAGCGUACCGGCAUCCAACUGACGCUGAGGCACGAAAGCGUGGGGAUCAAACAGG